rnacentral:rRNA from 1 species
GACGAACGCUGGCGGCGUGCCUAAUACAUGCAAGUCGAGCGAACAGAGAAAGUGCUUGCACUUUCAAAGUUAGCGGCGGACGGGUGAGUAACACGUAAGGAACCUACCGAUAAGCGGGGGACAACAUCCGGAAACGGGUGCUAAUACCGCAUAGGAAGUUUGUUCGCAUGAACAAACUUAGAAAGAUGGCUCUGCUAUCACUUAUCGAUGGCCUUGCGGUGCAUUAACUAGUUGGCGAGGUAACGGCUCACCAAGGUGAUGAUGCAUAGCCGACCUGAGAGGGUAAUCGGCCACAUUGGGACUGAGACACGGCCCAAACUCCUACGGGAGGCAGCAGUAGGGAAUCUUCCGCAAUGGACGCAAGUCUGACGGAGCAACGCCGCGUGAGUGAAGAAGGUUUUCGGAUCGUAAAACUCUGUUGUAAGAGAAGAACAAAUUGUAGAGUAACUGCUACAGUCUUGA